UACGUAGGGGGCAAGCGUUGUCCGGAUUUAUUGGGCGUAAAGAGCGUGUAGGCGGCCGCACAGGUCCGUUGUGAAAACUGGAGGCUUAACCUUCAGACGUCGAUGGAAACCGUGCGGCUAGAGUCCGGAAGAGGAGAAUGGAAUUCCUGGUGUAGCGGUGAAAUGCGCAGAUAUCAGGAAGAACACCUAUGGCGAAGGCAGCUCUCUGGGACGGUACUGACGCUGAGACGCGAAAGCGUGGGGAGCGAACAGG
rnacentral:rRNA from 1 species